CUCUCCUACCUAUUUUAUAUUCAUCAAGAGACAUUCAGUUCUUCUAAAAAGAAUAAACAAUUGCAGGGUUUUUUAUAAAAACAGGGUCCGCAAGAUUGGCAUCUGGAUCCCUUUUUGCUCUUAUGAAACAGAAAUCAGGUCAUGGAUCAGAUGUUAUGUCUGAAUUAUGGUUCAAUGCAUUAGCCUUUCAAUGGUAGUUGUCACAAUAUCAAUGAUUUCCUUCUGAAACCUGGAAAUCCACAAAGAG
rnacentral:sRNA from 1 species